rnacentral:rRNA from 1 species
CACCAAGGAGUUUAUCGUGUACGCAAGUCAUUGGGUGUUUAAAACCCAAAGGCGAAAUGAAAGUAAAGAGUAGAAAUUUGUAAACAAAAAUUAAUUUUUUUUUGCAAUCUCUCUUAAGGGAAGAUGGAAAUGACACAUACGCUAUAUGUUUGUGAAGAUUUCCCGCACUCCCAGGGCGCUUGUAUCUCGCUUUGCGAAUCGAUGCGCACCUAGAGCGUACACGAUGAUACCCGAAAGAUGGUGAACUAUGCCUGGCCAGGACGAAGCCAGGGGAAACCCUGGUGGAGGUCCGCAGCGAUUCUGACGUGCAAAUCGAUCGUCGGAGCUGGGUAUAGGGGCGAAAGACCAAUCGAACCAUCUAGUAGCUGGUUCCCUCUGAAGUUUCCCUCAGGAUAGCUUGCACUCGGUUGAGAAGAGUCUCAUCCGGUAGAGCGAAUGAUUAGAGGCAUUGGGGUCGAAACGACCUCAACCUAUUCUCAAACUCCAAAUAGAUGAGAUCCCCGGCUUUCUUAAAAGUGAAGCCGCGGGGAUAUGAUCAGAGUGCCAAGUGGGCCAAUUUU